ACACCCAGCAGGCAGAGAAGGCAGCAGCAGGCAGGACCGCCACCCUCCCAUGCAAAUCACCCCCGGGAGUGCAGCUGGGCUCCUCCCGCUCCUCCUGGGCAAUGCUCCUGGGGAGUCUGUGGGGAAGAUGCCAUCCAGGGCGCUGUGCGCUCUUCCUCAUCCUCGCCCUCCUGCUGGACGCGGUCGGCCUGGUCCUUUUGCUGCUGGGGAUCUUGGCCCCCCUGAGUUCCUGGGACUUCUUCAUCUACACAGGUGCCCUGAUCCUGGCUCUCAGCCUACUGCUCUGGAUCAUCUGGUAUUCCCUCAACAUUGAGGUGUCUCCUGAAAAACUGGACCUGUAAUUUGGCCAUGGGAAGAGGAGAAGAGACGCAGGUGCUGUAUGCAGACAUGUCUGUGAACCUGGGGCUCUUGGGCAGCAACACGUUGCAGCUUCCACCUAGCAAGCCACGCCGGGACCAGGUGAGUGCACACAAGACCUACCUGGCAGGGUGGCCAGAGAGGCUUGGACAAGCAGGGGCAAGACCAGGCCUCCUGAGGCUGCAUAAGCAAAUAGCCAGACACUGCACCCUGACUGGGGAUCCUGUGGCCCUGGCCUCAGGUCCUGCUGGGGUGGCCAGCCAAGAGGACGUGGGGCAGGUGUUUUCUCCUCCGGGCCCUUUUCCUCGCAGAGGCUGGAAAGAGAGUCUCAACAGCCCCUUCCACCCCUGAUAUACCACGAAUGAUCCUGGCUUCUGGGCACAAUGGGAAGUUAUCCCUUUACCUCGGAACUUGGGGACAAAAAGACCCCAUCUGCAUUCUCUGUUGGGAAGAAUCUCUGCUGGGGAGAAAAGUCUUUAGCACAGGAGAGGACGGAAAGUUCCCCAAUGACUCUUGUGCCCUUGCAUACAUGAAGGGGUGUGAACUGGGCCACGGUAAAAGCAAACAGAGCAGAACCACCCAGAACGGCCCCUCUCGUUCACUUCCUCCCUGCACCUGCCCAGAUGGGAUACAAGAAGCGGGGUAGGGACUACUCGCCUCCAUGCCCACUCAGUGCACACACCUCCUCUCUCUGCAGUAUUCCCACCCCACCCUCACUCACACUCACACGCAGCCAACACAUGUGCCCAGCCAGUCUCCAAGGCCCAGAAGUCAAGACAGUUUGGCUUCAUGGAUUUCAUCCGCUGAGUUGCAUGUCACAGCUCAGUCUAUCGCGUGCAACCAAAGAGGCAGAGAGUUGUAAGAUUUUUUCACAUCAAGACAGAGUCCCAGAGAUAGAGUGGUCUGGUCCUUACAACCCUGAAUUAGAGAUGGACAGCUGUCUCCAGGGGACUGAAGUCAGAGCCACGGUCCAUUGGGCAGCCAUACCCUCCUCCCCAGGUGGGCCCAACCUGCACGCAGGUGUAUCCAGGCACUCCCGUUUCUUACUCCCUUACCAGAAGUAAGAGCAAAGGUCGUUGCUGAGUUGAAAGAAGGAAAUAAUAAUUGUGUCUUUUGUGGGGGAUUACACCUGACUCUCAGAACUCAGAGAAAAGAGAAGCAAAAUGAAGAGGUCUCAGUAGAGUAAGGUAAGCCCAUACCUAGGAAAUGAUGUAGAAACAGAUGAGAAGUCAGUCCCACUCUGAUCUUCAGCACUUGUUAGCUGGGUGUUUUUGGCCAGGUUGCACACUCUGAGCCUCAGGAUUCUCAUCUGUAAGAUGAAGAGAAUAUUUCUGGCCCUUAUUGCUGCAAGGAUCGAAAAGAGAUAAGGCAGGGAAAGGCUGUACAAUUGAUGUGGUUCUUACACCAGAUGUCAAGCAUACAAAACACAUAAUCUGGGAUGAGUUAACUGACCCAAAGUCCAAAUGUGAAGUACCUUGGUGUCUCUCAAAUUGGUAGUGAUGGGGGUCAACUCACACUUUGCAUCAGGAAACUUCAGAGCAAAAAGGGUCCCUGAUUUGUGUGCUGGUAUGUUGGAAUGUGUCAGGCACUGUGCAAGACACUGGGGAUAAGAAAUGAGACACAUGGACCAGGCACAGUGACUCAUGCCUGUAAUCCCAGCACUUUGGGAGGCCGAGGCGGGCAGAUCACUUGAGGUCAGGAGUUCAAGACCAGCCUUGGCAACAUGGUGAAACCCCAUCUCCACCAAAAAUACAAAAAAUUAGCCACGCAUGGUGAUGCACACCUGUAAUCCCAGCUAUUCAGGAGGUUGAGGCAGAAGGAUUGCUGGAGCCCAGGAGGCACAGGCUGCAGUGAGCAGAGAUUGCACCACUGCAUUCCAACCUGGGCGGCAGAGUGAGACCUGUCUCAA
rnacentral:lncRNA from 1 species